CCUACGGGGGGCAGCAGUGGGGAAUAUUGCACAAUGGGGGAAACCCUGAUGCAGCGACGCCGCGUGAGUGAAGAAGUAUUUCGGUAUGUAAAGCUCUAUCAGCAGGGAAGAAGAAAGACGGUACCUGACUAAGAAGCCCCGGCUAACUACGUGCCAGCAGCCGCGGUAAUACGUAGGGGGCAAGCGUUAUCCGGAUUUACUGGGCGUAAAGCGUGCGUAGGCGGUUUGUUAAGUCCAGAAUUAAAGCCCGAGGCUUAACCUCGGUUCGUUCUGGAUACUGGCAGGCUUGAGUAUGGUAGAGGCAA
rnacentral:rRNA from 1 species